GGGGCGGGUGCUUACACAUGCAAGUCGAACGAUGAAGCCUUUCGGGGUGGAUUAGUGGCGAACGGGUGAGUAACACGUGGGCAAUCUGCCCUUCACUCUGGGACAAGCCCUGGAAACGGGGUCUAAUACCGGAUAACACUCUGUCCCGCAUGGGACGGGGUUAAAAGCUCCGGCGGUGAAGGAUGAGCCCGCGGCCUAUCAGCUUGUUGGUGGGGUAAUGGCCUACCAAGGCGACGACGGGUAGCCGGCCUGAGAGGGCGACCGGCCACACUGGGACUGAGACACGGCCCAGACUCCUACGGGAGGCAGCAGUGGGGAAUAUUGCACAAUGGGCGAAAGCCUGAUGCAGCGACGCCGCGUGAGGGAUGACGGCCUUCGGGUUGUAAACCUCUUUCAGCAGGGAAGAAGCGAAAGUGACGGUACCUGCAGAAGAAGCGCCGGCUAACUACGUGCCAGCAGCCGCGGUAAUACGUAGGGCGCAAGCGUUGUCCGGAAUUAUUGGGCGUAAAGAGCUCGUAGGCGGCUUGUCACGUCGGAUGUGAAAGCCCGGGGCUUAACCCCGGGUCUGCAUUCGAUACGGGCUAGCUAGAGUGUGGUAGGGGAGAUCGGAAUUCCUGGUGUAGCGGUGAAAUGCGCAGAUAUCAGGAGGAACACCGGUGGCGAAGGCGGAUCUCUGGGCCAUUACUGACGCUGAGGAGCGAAAGCGUGGGGAGCGAACAGGAUUAGAUACCCUGGUAGUCCACGCCGUAAACGUUGGGAACUAGGUGUUGGCGACAUUCCACGUCGUCGGUGCCGCAGCUAACGCAUUAAGUUCCCCGCCUGGGGAGUACGGCCGCAAGGCUAAAACUCAAAGGAAUUGACGGGGGCCCGCACAAGCAGCGGAGCAUGUGGCUUAAUUCGACGCAACGCGAAGAACCUUACCAAGGCUUGACAUAUACCGGAAAGCAUCAGAGAUGGUGCCCCCCUUGUGGUCGGUAUACAGGUGGUGCAUGGCCUGUCGUCAGCUCGUGUCGUGAGAAUGUKGGGUUAAGUCCCGCAACGAGCGCAACCCUUGUUCUGUGUUGCCAGCAUGCCCUUCGGGGUGAUGGGGACUCACAGGAGACUGCCGGGGUCAACUCGGAGGAAGGUGGGGACGACGUCAAGUCAUCAUGCCCCUUAUGUCUUGGGCUGCACACGUGCUACAAUGGCCGGUACAAUGAGCUGCGAUGCCGCGAGGCGGAGCGAAUCUCAAAAAGCCGGUCUCAGUUCGGAUUGGGGUCUGCAACUCGACCCCAUGAAGUCGGAGUUGCUAGUAAUCGCAGAUCAGCAUUGCUGCGGUGAAUACGUUCCCGGGCCUUGUACACACCGCCCGUCACGUCACGAAAGUCGGUAACACCCGAAGCCGGUGGCCCAACCCCUUGUGGGAGGGGAGCCUGUCGAAAGGGG
rnacentral:rRNA from 1 species